rnacentral:pre_miRNA from 13 species
GCGCUAUAACGUAAUACGUUAUAUUGUUAUAACGAAAUAACGUAUUACGUUAUAUGGUAUAACGAUGUAACGUAUUACGUUAUAUGU